GACGAACGCUGGCGGCGUGCUUAACACAUGCAAGUCGAACGGAAAGGCCCUGCUUUUGUGGGUUGCUCGAUUGGCGAACGGGUGAGUAACACGUGAGUAACCUGCCCUUGACUUUGUGAUAACUUCACGAAACUCCGGCUAUUAUCGGAUAGGAUCUCUUGCUGCAUGUUGGGGGUUGGAAAGUUUCGGCGUUGCUAGAUGGACUCGCGGCUUAUCAGCUUGUUUGUGUGGUAGUGGCUUACCAAGGGUUUGACGGGUAGCCGGCCUGAGAGGGGUGACGGGCACAAUGGGACUGAGGGAGGGAGCAGAAGGGUACGGGAGGCAGUAGGGGGGAGUAUGACAGAACGGGGCGAAGUCAGAUGCAGCGACGCCGGGAGCGGGAUAAUGGGCUUUGGGGUGUGAACAGAUGUCGCCUGUGACGAAGCGAGAGUGACGGUAAUGGGUAAAGAAGCAACGGCUAACUACGUG
rnacentral:rRNA from 1 species